GACGAACGCUGGCGGCAUGCCUAACACAUGCAAGUCGAACGAGAUCUUCGGGUCUAGUGGCGCACGGGUGCGUAACACGUGGGAAUCUGCCCUUUGGUUCGGAAUAACAGUUGGAAACGACUGCUAAUACCGGAUGAUGACGAAAGUCCAAAGAUUUAUCGCCAGAGGAUGAGCCCGCGUAGGAUUAGCUAGUUGGUGUGGUAAAGGCGCACCAAGGCGACGAUCCUUAGCUGGUCUGAGAGGAUGAUCAGCCACACUGGGACUGAGACACGGCCCAGACUCCUACGGGAGGCAGCAGUGGGGAAUAUUGGACAAUGGGCGAAAGCCUGAUCCAGCAAUGCCGCGUGAGUGAUGAAGGCCUUAGGGUUGUAAAGCUCUUUUACCCGGGAUGAUAAUGACAGUACCGGGAGAAUAAGCUCCGGCUAACUCCGUGCCAGCCGCCGCGGUAAAAC
rnacentral:rRNA from 1 species